CAAACUGAAGAUGGCGACCGGCGCACGGGUGAGUAACACGUAUCCAACCUGCCGAUAACUCCGGAAUAGCCUUUCGAAAGAAAGAUUAAUACCGGAUAGUAUACGAAUAUCGCAUGAUAUUUUUAUUAAAGAAUUUCGGUUAUCGGUGGGGAUGCGUUCCAUUAGUUUGUUGGCGGGGUAACGGCCCACCAAGACUACGAUGGAUAGGGGUUCUGAGAGGAAGGUCCCCCACAUUGGAACUGAGACACGGUCCAA
rnacentral:rRNA from 1 species